rnacentral:rRNA from 1 species
UACGGGGGGGGCAAGCGUUGUUCGGAAUUACUGGGCGUAAAGGGCGCGUAGGCGGUGCUCUAAGUCGGAUGUGAAAACUCUGGGCUCAACCCAGAGCCUGCAUCCGAAACUGGAGUGCUAGAGUUCUGGAGGGGGUAGCGGAAUUCCGAGUGUAGAGGUGAAAUUCGUAGAUAUUCGGAAGAACACCAGUGGCGAAGGCGACUUACUGGACGAUUGUUGACGCUGAGGUGCGAAAGCGUGGGGAGCAAACAGG